GAUUAGCCUACGGGCCGUCUAUUGUCACAAAAACAGGAAGAAACCCUGGAUAGAAUAGCCGAAAAGAUGGGUAAAAGAGGGGACAAAGCUUUGCGCACGUGAAAUAAACAAACGUGCGAGGCGAAAGGGACUCGCAUAGAAGGACUCGCAUAGAAUUCCCCAAAGUUUGAAAUGAUGCUGUGUUCCCGAAGAAGGUUCCAAACACAACAGCUGCUGCUUCUCUUUUAGAUUGAGCUUCAAGGUAAAAGUCCUUCAAGGGAGUGAGCGACUGUGCAAACGGAUCGUGCCAUACUGAAAGGAACAUCAUGGCACGUCGCCCCUCCUUUGGAAUAAAGAGCAUCACCUUGUCACGCAGUCAGAAUCGACAGAGGGUUGUGGUGUCAUGUGUAAAAUAAAUGUCUCUGUUUGUAUAAGCUUAGUCACAGCAGCACCCAUGACAUCGUGACGUCAGCACCGUCACACAAGGUGCGGCUCACAACGGCCACGACCUGGAUUUAUUUGACCGUUGACAUCCGAAUAAUGUAGUCUUCAGGAGUAAUAAUAAUGACACAAAAAAUACUGAUUAUCAAAACUCCCAGCUUAGGUAUGUACUUCUAUGACCUAUGCAUUUGUCUACAAGGUAAGGGUUGCUAUUAUGCCUGUGUCAGUAGGUUAAGGGCAAGACAGACCAACACGAAUGUCGGCUGUGCACGGUGGACCACCUACUGGGUGACGACGAAUGGUGGCGAUUCAACAUGUAGAGUCGUUGGGAAAUGAUCAGAAAAUCACGGCCUGUGUACUGUUGUCAGCGGUGAUAUGACGUCCAACCGCUGCACACCUGCUGUGCACGGCCGACGUUCCUGUUGGUCUGUCUUGGCCUUAAGGAUAUAUGAGCUUCGCCUGUGUCCGUAGCUGAAGAUAUCCACUGUGCUAUGAGUUAUGCCUGUGUCAGAGAUGAUCAACAUGCCUGUGCUUGUGUCCUCACUGCCCUGGCCUGGACCCAGAGGACAUAUUUACAGGGUGUACUAAGCUUAACGCCACGCUGCUCUCCUCUCCACCUCACUCAGCUAACCUUAAUCCCUCCUACCCAGCAGCCCACACAGCUCUGAGGGUCAACGGAAACAGAAUCAAUACUUUAUGAAUAUGUAUAUAAUGUAUAAUGUCAUUCUCAAGUCCAAAUGUAUUUGUGAUGCCAUUGGUGUUUGAUUGUCAAUGUUCUUAUUGUCAUAUUCAGAAGCUAAGGUGAAGCUAGCUGUGUUAUGCUACGCUGGGCAAAAAGGUUUUGGACGUACUUGAUCAAGUGCCCCGUCCUUUACUAGUCUUUUCAUUUAUGUAUGUGGAUUCUGUGUGUGUGUGUGUGUGAGACCACAUGGCAAGUUUACCUCAGAUGACCCCGCAGACAUGAGGCGUCCGAGCCGAAUUCAAGCCGUGACAAAUGGGUUCUGGGGCUGAACAGCAGACAUUCCACAACAUGUACCUCUUCAACAGCUCCUUCCUCUCCUUCCUCUCCUUCCUCUCCUUAUCCCUUCCUACACUUCUCCUCUAAACAUCUAUCUCUUCCAAGGUUGUACGGAUGCACUGAUCGAUCAAACAUAAACCUGUUGUAUGUAUCGGAAGAGGUUGUGGGAAUCUGGUGUUAGUAGAAAAAGAGAAGUGAACCCCUUGGAUGUUAGUAUCAUCAACUUUUCUUGAUCAGUGAUGUAGAGGCUGAGAGAAAAUAUAGUGCUGUGUUUAAUCAGGGGUGUGUAGGUUGUAGCAUCCUAUCCUCCUCCCCCUGCAAUAUCCCUCCAUUUCUUUAGCCCUACCUCUUCCCUAACCUCCAUCUCUUGCUACCCCCCUCCCUCUCUUCCCUGUUUCUCUCUGAUUUUCCAGAAUGUUCCUCCACAGAAUCCUGCCACCUGUGUCAGUGCAAAAAAAAAAAAGGCUAUUGGUAUUCCUCUUUGAGGCUGGUUAAGGUAAGUGCCAGCCCCCAUUACGAUGACAAGGCAAGUAAUGAUGCCGCUUGUUCCCGCGGUUCCCCAUGAUUUAUUUAUGCUUUCCCAGGGAGUGAUCCUACCACCUCCAUCCCCAGUCCUACCCACUCUCUACAUUUUUUAAGAACACAUGCAGUCGCCACAGGUUAACGUCAGCGCCGCCAUUGCAUGUCACAGGCAGACCAUACGGGAACGUAGGAGGCUGAUGCAAUGAUGUGCUGUGGAUACCCUGAGUUUUAAUCAUGUGUAAUAGCAUUACUG